AAUAGAUUUCUUUGUAACAGGACGGUGACACGCAUUCGCGAAUGCAUCUUGUUUUGGCGAUGUCACUUCUUUCCGGUGAUAAGAUCUUGCAAGCGCCGCUUUCUUCGCAAGCCUGCUCGAAUUGCCUGAAGAGAAGUUCCUGCGGGCAACAUUUUGUUAUAAAAAUAUCAGAACUAAAUUCAAAUCCACUCCAUUCGAUUGAUACCGAGUUGAAGAGUCUUUUAGCACGCGAUGGAAAAUGUGAAUAUAGCUAACUGUGUAUGCUUCUAACAAACAAUAAUGGGAUAAAAUUGAGCGUAACAAUUGGUUCGUGCGUGUUCAAAGAUUAACCCCAAUUAAUGCUCGUACGAGUUCUAUUAUUGAUGCUGUUGUUUAAUUUUCUUUGAAGAUAGUUUCCUUUCUUUUUGUAUGGACAAUACACUGAUACAAAUACUGAUACAAAUACUGAUACUAAUACCGAUACUAUUUUUAUUUUACUGUGAAGUAAAAGACAAUAGAGAAGUUGAAUUCACAAGAACCGUAUUUUUGUCGAAGACGAUUCUUUUCUCGAAGCAAACUUGAUUACAGUUUCUCGAAAUGGCAAAGAUAUAUCAGCACCAGUGAUAAAAUCGAAGUACGCCUCGAGCACUUUGACUGUUCGAGUUAAUGCCAAAUCGAUUUUACCCCCAUGGCGAAAUCGCGAAAUCACCCGUCGCCUCGUUACGUCCCCCAUGGGGAUGCUGGAUCCACGAUGCGAAGCAAUCCUCGAGUAUCACGCAUCACUGACAAGAUAUCACUGUGAGAGGUCUCUCGAUAAUUUUAACUCGAGGAAUCCUACGUAACUUCCUACAUGGUUCCCUGCCAAUGCUGAAUUUAAUACAGUUGCCAGACGAGGCCGGUGCGGCAAAAAGCGCCACCCCCCAAAACACAAGGCAUCGACCAUAACCUGUACACAAGAUGGAAACGCGGCCCUCGCGAGGAUUCUCGCCAAACUGGUUUGGACGACUUACAUUCUUGGUAGUCUCCUUGUACGGAUAUUCAGGGAAGGUGAAGGUCUUGGCGAGGGUGCCUGGCCCUUCCUUCAGCUGUCCGACGACGAGGAUCAGACCGAUCGCAAACGCCAUCCCCGGCGCCAUGUUGAGCAGCCGGCUACGAUCAAUAUGAUGGGGUGGCGCUCGCUUACGCUCUUUACCAAACCUGAUACACUAUAUAUUCUCGAAAUAACGAGUACCGAGCAAUACCGUACCCGGAUCUUUCUGCAACUCGAAUCAAAGGGAACUAUGAAGCGAAGAUGGAUCACGGAAGCGGGUUUCCUCCGAUUCGAGGAAAUGCACGCGCGGAUUCAUCGAUAAAUCCAUGGAGGCCGGCGUCGCGGCUCGGCUAUUUUGCAUAAAAUGUAACGGAGUGUGUAUGCAGCGAGGCGCGAUCGCAUUUAUCGUUGCGACGCAUGCGAGCGGACCAGACGACGGUUUUUGUUCGGCUAGGCGUUGCGCAUCACCAGCUCUCUCUCCACGUGCACCACGGCCACCCUCCUGUCGACCAUUAAAUCGAGAUUUCGCCGGUGAUUAGCGGCAGUUUGCCUCGCCUCGCUGCGCCCGCCAGUCGAUAGAUUUUCCCAAUAAUUUUCCGUCAGUUCGAGGAAUUUCGCCGUACCGAGAAGCCAUCGCCUAUAUUACGUUCUCUUCUUCCUGGAUUUUCGGCAGAAUGGAAUUUAAAGUGGUUUCGUUAUUCUAUUUUUUAUUUAUUUAUUUAUUUUUUUUUUUUAGCUUUUUGAAACAUUCGAAUUUUUUGUUGAGAUUGAUAGGAUUUUUUGAGGAAAUUCAUAUUGAUUUAAUGAGAAAUUGAUAGUUGAUUUGUUGGAAAAUAGAUCAAGUAGUUAUAUUAUAAUUAAUGAUAAAAUUCUUCGAUUUUUUUUUUUUUAAUUUUUCAUAAUAGAAUUUUCAAUUUCGAUACUUCAAAUUCUUUUGUUUUAAAAAAUUGAAGCAUUGAUUUAGUGAUCCAUUUAAAAGUCUCCAAUUUUCUUUUAGUUUUAAUAAUAAAAUUUUUUUUAUUUUUAUUUUUGAUAUUCCUAUUAACUGAUUUAUAGAAAUUAUUAAAGCCAAAGAAAAUGUUUAACACUAGUAAAUUUCUAGUUAAUUAUUAAUUAGUUUUAAUAAACUUUGAAGAAGAUAGAUUUUAAAAUUGAUAGAAUUCAAUAUUUUUCUUUAUCGGCAAUCUAGAAUAUAGAAACAGUUUUCAAUGCUGAAGAUGAAAGAUAUUUUUCUUCACUAUCUCGGGAUAUUACUCUUCCUUAUAAAUCUUUUUACUAUCUCUGAAUAUUGAUACGUGCAAAAUUGAAACAGAAAAAUAAGAUCGUCAAUAUCUGUUUACAUAAAUAUGCACAUUGCUAUAUUUCUACGAUAAAAAAUAAAAAUAAUAUUGAUCGGUAUUGAUUCAUAAUUCUCUUCAAGAUUCAUAAAUAUCUCAAUGUUAAUUUUUUCAAGAAGAAUCAGAUCUUAUAUUAUCUUAAUGAAUCUGUUGAACAGAAAGAUCGUCCUCUCGAAUAAUUAUAUAUCAUUCUCAAUUGAGAAUACUAUCUCUAGAAUAAUUCUUUGUAAACAACCUAUUACACAAUCUGUUAUAUUGUAAUUAAUUAUUUGUCGACACUCAUUAAUUACAAGCUCUUCCAAGAGAAAGAGUAGAAAUUUAUGAGACAGAGACGCGUAACAAAUAGUACUAUUUCGAUUUUUAAAAUCAAUUAACGAAAGUGCACUUAAUUCUUAUGUUAAUAUCCAGCUAUCCAGGUAUCCCUUCACUUAGCAUAAAAUUAAAAAUUAACCAAUCUCUUCAAAAUAUUUUCAAAUCGAUUUUUGAAUUCUCCAGUUAUUUCAAGCGAAGUUACAACAACUUACAUCAAAAAAUCCCAUUACCAAAAAAUUAGCGAAAUCAGAAAUCUGAAAUUGAAUGUUUAAAACCUUGGUCACCGAGGCAAGAAUUAAACACGAAUCGUCCUGGAAAAUGAAAUUUCCCCACCGUCCAUGGUCAAUCUAAAAAUCUAUUGUAAAAACAAGAUGAUUAAUGGAAGGGGUGAAUUUCAAGCCGCGGUGGCCAUCGUUUCGAUUCGAAUUAAAAUUUUCAUUCGUGUUCGUACACACAGCCAGACGUCCCGGCUAAUUAAACACCGGUAGUGAUCCUGGAUCAGGCGAAUCGCGCGUGUUUCCGUUUGUGAAAAUCGCAAACGAGAACUUUUUCCAUACGUGGUUAGCCUAGAAAGGAGAGGAGAGAGAGAGAGAGAGAGAAAAGGGAUCGUUUGGAUUGCGGAGGGUUGAAAAAAAAUCCAAAAUCUCGCCGGUUUUUUAAUUACAUGCCUCCUCCCUCGUUUCAAACGCACGAACCGAUGCAUGAUGUACGAUGUACGUAUAUACGUGUGUAUGCACGCAAUGUUUCCGAUUAAAUCGCGUGUGUCUGUGAAAUUCCGUCGAUCUAUCGGCGACCAAGUCGCGCACGAAUGCCAGAUGUACUUCAAUAAAAAUUUUUAUUUAACAUAAGAAUCGUAAGCAUAGGAUAUGUCUUCUUACGGAAUUUUGUAUGGAAUUUCUUUUUUGUCGUGGCUUGGUUUUUGCAGGAAAUUGAAUAAUUCAGGAGGCGAUGAUUAUAUAUAACGUUAUAUAGAACGUAGCGUGUGAAAUUUUUAGACUUGAAUUGUAAUCGUGGGAUAUGUUUCAUUAUGCGUGGAAUUUUUUUAUUGUUAGGUUAGAUAUUGUAUGGGGAAUUGAAUAAUAGGUUGUUGUAAUUUGUUGUGAGAAAUGCUGUGUAUAUCAAAAAUUGAGAAAAAUUGAUGCGCGAACGAUCUCUUCUUUUAUUAUUAAAUAGACUCAGCCAAAUACAUGUUAAUUUUUGACUUGACUACGAGUGUACAAUAAAAAAAGAGUAGUACAUA